AAAAAACUGGAGGAACUCAGAUCUACCAGCCUACGUCAGGUCUCACCAAUAUACAAGAGGCCACAUUGGGAGCACCGGACACAGUAGACGACUCCAAAAAAAAACUCACAGGACCAUCUACCACUCCAGGUAUUAUCUCACUCAGGAAUCAAUGAUGAAGUUAACUUGGAAGAAGUAUUACAGAGAGCACCAGGAACACCUGAAUGUGCAAGCAAGAAGUGAAGGAGCAGUGUGCAUGAUUGGGAGCUUUAAAACUUCAGCAAACUCGAUGAAAUGCUCUUGAUAGAUUUACACGGAACAAUGAAGAAGAAUAUGUAAAGAUGGUCAAGAUGCAGAAUUUUAAAAUCAGCAUGUGAGCAAAGUAUGCAAAUAAACCUGGC